rnacentral:lncRNA from 1 species
UUAAAUUUCAGCCUGCCAUUCACUUUUCAGCCUUUAUGCUGGUCUGUUCAGUUGACUUCUGGUGGAUGGAAGCCCUCAGCUGACACAAGGCUAGGAUGCUGCCUCUGAACGCUCAGUGCUUUUCUCCCAGAGAGGAGCUCCUUCCAAGGACCACUGCUGAAUUCCUGGGUAGAAGCAGAAACCAUCAAAGGAUCUAGACACAUUUCCCACUAGCAGGCUCUAGCCCAUGGAAUGAAGGCGUCCUUGCCUCUACAGAAGAUACAGGAUGCUAAAAGAGCUCUGGAGAAGUCGUUGAUGUCAGCUGAAAGAAAAAAAAUAUGCAGAUGCUGUAAGCAAUAAGCUGACAUCUUACUCCAGAACAACCAACUCUUCAAAGUCAGUAACUGAUGUAGUUGUGUGUCUCUGCUCCUGCUGUGAUACUGUUCUCAUCAGAACAGUUAGCAGUCCCACUUCUAACUCCA